UCUCUUUGCUCUGCUGGCCGCGGUCGUGAACAGAAGUUUUGUAGUGUGUGGUGUUGUGGCCUUCUGAGUCGGCCCUAAAUGUGCCAUUCCCAACUCAAACGGGCAGGGCACGCAGAUUAUUGUUGUUGAAAUAAAGGAAUUCCGGUUGGACACCGAAAUCCCGCUGUUCGCCGAUUUUGUGGACUCACUGCCACGUGCUGAGUUUUAUUACUGUUGAAGAUUGUGUGUGGUUGGGCAGUGCUCGGUGGCGAGCCUCUGCGCUGUCUGCUGUUGCUGUCUAUUGUUGCUGUCUGUUGUUGCUGACGUUGCCUCCAUAGCAGGUGACGAUGGUGCCUGAGAGUCGUUCCCCGACCAUGACUGGCCGAUAUGUACACUACCGAGGCCGUCCACCGCGGUCCUGGGCUACCCUACUUCAUAAGGUUGGUUCCGUUUUCUAUUGAGCUUGUCAAUUAUUUUAGUUUACUUUGAAAAAGUAGAUUACCCACAAUGAUUACAUUUUACCAAAAAGUAAAUUCUUAAAUAAAUUUACCAUUGUGAAGUAUUAUCAAUGGAUUUUGUUGUGUUAACUAUUUUUAGUUCGCUUUGUGAAGGUCGAUGAUGUAAUAAUUACAAAGAUUACAUUUUACCAAAAUGUUAGUUCCUAAAUAAAUUUACCAUUGUGAAGUAUUAUCAAUGGAUUUUGUUGUGUUAACUAUUUUUAGUUCGCUUUGUGAAGGUCGAUGAUGUAAUAAUUACAAAGAUUACAUUUUACCAAAAUGUUAGUUCCUAAAUAAAUUUACCAUUGUGACGUAUUAUCGAUGGAUUUUGUCGUGUAAACUAUUUUUUGUUCGCUUUGUGAAG